rnacentral:rRNA from 1 species
ACACUCCUACGGGAGGCAGCAGUGGGGAAUUUUGGACAAUGGGCGAAAGCCUGAUCCAGCAAUGCCGCGUGAGUGAAGAAGGCCUUCGGGUUGUAAAGCUCUUUUGUCAGGGAAGAAACGGUGAGAGCUAAUAUCUUUUGCUAAUGACGGUACCUGAAGAAUAAGCACCGGCUAACUACGUGCCAGCAGCCGCGGUAAUACGUAGGGUGCAAGCGUUAAUCGGAAUUACUGGGCGUAAAGCGUGCGCAGGCGGUUUUGUAAGUCUGAUGUGAAAUCCCCGGGCUCAACCUGGGAAUUGCAUUGGAGACUGCAAGGCUAGAAUCUGGCAGAGGGGGGUAGAAUUCCACGUGUAGCAGUGAAAUGCGUAGAUAUGUGGAGGAACACCGAUGGCGAAGGCAGCCCCCUGGGUCAAGAUUGACGCUCAUGCACGAAAGCGUGGGGAGCAAACAGGAUUAGAUACCCCUGUAGUCCC